rnacentral:rRNA from 1 species
ACCCGUUGAUCCUGCGGGAGGUUGCUGCUAUUUGGGUUCGAUUUAGCCAUGCAAGUCCAGGGGUUCUUCGGAACACCGGCAAAAUGCUCAGUAACACGUUGAUAAUCUAACUUAUGGUCUGGGAUAGCCUUGGGAAACUGAGGGUAAUACCGGAUAUGAGAUAAUUUCUGGAAUGAUUUAUCUUUGAAAGAUUACGCCAUAAGAUGAGUCAGCGGCGGAUUAGGCUGUUGGUGAGGUAAUGGCUCACCAAACCAAAGAUCCGUAAGGGCCUUGAGAGAGGUAGCCCUGAGAAGGACACUGAGAUACUGGUCCUAGCCCUACGGGGUGCAGCAGGCGCGAAAACUUUACAAUGCACGAAAGUGUGAUAAGGGAACCCAAAGUGCUCAUACAAUGUAUGGGCUUUUUGCUAAGAGUAAAUAUCUUGGCGAAUAAGUGGUGGGCAAGACUGGUGCCAGCCGCCACGGUAACACCAGCGCCACUAGUGGGAAUCAUUUUUAUUUGGCCUAAAGCGUCCGUAGCCGGUUUGAUAAAUCUUUUGUGAAAUCAUAGAGCUCAACUCUAUGGCGUGCAGAAGACACUAUUAAACUCGGGAUUGGGAGGAGUUAGGAGUAUUCUUGGGGGAGCGGUAAAAUGCUAUAAUCCCAAGAAGACUACCUGUGGCGAAGGCGCCUAACUAGAACAAGUCCGACGGUGAGGGACGAAAGCCAGGGGAGCGAUCCGGAUUAGAUACCCGAGUAGUCCUGGCCGUAAACGCUGCGAGCUAGGUGUUGCAUAUUCUUCGGGAAUAUGCAGUGUCGAAGUGAAGAUGUUAAGCUCGCCGCCUGGGGAGUAUGGUCGCAAGACUGAAACUUAAAGGAAUUGGCGGGGGAGCACUACAAGGGGUGCGGCGUGCGGUUUAAUCUAAUUUAACACAGAGAAUCUCACCAGAAGCGACGGCAGAAUGAAGGUCAAGCUAAUGACUUUACCUGACGAGCCGAGAGGUAGUGCAUGGCCGUCGUCAGCUCGUGCUGUAAAGUGUCCUGCUAAGCCAGGCAACGAGCGAGACCUGUACCUAUAAUUGCUAGCAAGCCUAUUGGGUGAUUGAGCACAUUAUGGGGACUGCUUUGGAAACAAAGAGGAAGGUGCAGGCUACGGUAGGUCUGUAUGCUCCGAAUCCUCUGGGCUACACGCGCGCAACAAUGAUAAGGACAAAGGGAUACAACUCCGAAAGGAGAAGUUAAACCUCUAAACCUUACCUUAGUUCAGAUUGAGGAUUGUAACUCAUCCUCAUGACGCUGGAAUCCCUAGUAAUCGGAAGUCAUCAGCUUCCGGUGAAUAUGUCCCUGCUCCUUGCACACACCGCCCGUCAAACCACUCGAGCAGGGUUUAGGUAAGCAUUGGCCUGUUAGCCUAUUCGAAUCUAAGCUCAGUGAGAUGGGUUAAGUCGUCACAAGGUA